UGCGUAGGCGGCGCGGUAAGUGAGAUGUGAAAUCCCUCGGCUCAACCGAGGAACUGCGUUUCAUACUGCCGUGCUUGAGGGAGACAGGGGUAAGCGGAACUGAUGGUGGAGCGGUGAAAUGCGUUGAUAUCAUCAGGAACACCGGUGGCGAAGGCGGCUUACUGGGUCUCUUCUGACGCCGAGGCACGAAAGCUAGGGUAGCGAACAGGAUUAGAUACCCUGGUAGUCC
rnacentral:rRNA from 1 species